AGAAAAGCAGGGGAUCGCAAGACCUUGCGCUUUUGGAGCGGCCGAUGUCUGAUUAGCUAGUUGGUGAGGUAAAGGCUUACCAAGGCUUCGAUCAGUAGCUGGUCUGAGAGGACGACCAGCCACACUGGGACUGAGACACGGCCCAGACUCCUACGGGAGGCAGCAGUGGGGAAUUUUGGACAAUGGGGGAAACCCUGAUCCAGCCAUGCCGCGUGAGUGAAGAAGGCCUUCGGGUUGUAAAGCUCUUUCAGCCGGAACGAAAAGGUUACGGUUAAUACCCGUGACUAAUGACGGUACCGGAAGAAGAAGCACCGGCUAACUACGUGCCAGCAGCCGCGGUAAUACGUAGGGUGCGAGCGUUAAUCGGAAUUACUGGGCGUAAAGCGUGCGCAGGCGGUUUUGUAAGUCAGAUGUGAAAUCCCCGGGCUCAACCUGGGAACUGCGUUUGAAACUACAAGGCU
rnacentral:rRNA from 1 species